GUCACUAUUAUCAUCUCCCCCAUUUUGCAGGUGAAAAAAUAGAGGCGCAGAGCCUUGGGCCUUGUACACAGAUGGAGUGGCAGUGCCUGGUAGGGAACCUGAGUUGCUCUGAAUCCCAUAUCUGUGCUGAGCAGACAGAUGAAGACACCUGCCCUCCUCCCCAGCUGAGAAAGAAUGAUCGAGACCCCACAGUGGGACAUGUCCCAAGUGACUGAGCCCCCACUGGAUGUGGGGUGAGCUCAUCAGACUGGAAGCUGCAGGCUGACGUCAUGGCUGGGCACAGAAGCCUCAGCUCUCUCUGUAAUUACAGCUGGGCGGGGCCGGCUGAGUUGGAAGCCAGUUGUCGGGAUCAUUCGCAUGAUGCACUGGAGAAAUCUGGUCCUGCCUGGGACCUGGGCCGGGGCUGGGGCCACGCCAAAACCUCCAGAGGACUCCUCUUCCUAAAGCAAGGCUCAGCUGGAACCAGGAGACCCGGGAGGAGGGGAAGCCUGGUGAGGGAGCAGGGAACUGAACUUCGAUGACUUAGUCCACCUUCUCAUUCAAGGAUGAGGGGGAAGAAAGGGAGGAUGCAAAGUAAGAAAGAUAAGUUCCCACCCACUCUUAGGGGAUUCCCAGCCCCCAGCCCCUCCGACGGUCUGAAGACCUGUCUCCGUCUCCGACUUGGUUCUGUUGGGUGGCCAAAGAUCCCAGCACAUCCUCCAGAAAAUAGGAAGUGAGGAAACUGAGGCACAAGACAUGAGGUGACCUGCCUGAGGCCACUAGCUUAUGGAUUCUGACCCCAGGUCUGUCUGAACUUCAAGCCCACGCCUAUUUUCUCUGCCACGCAUCCCAGCAAGAAUGAAUAAAUAAAAUAAAAUAAACAGCCGGUAUGGUCCCUCCCUAAAUGAGUCUAUGCCCUCACAAUCCUGGGAAAGUAACACUUAUUUAUUUGAGGUCUAGCUUUCUUGUUUUAUUUUUUCCAAAAUUCUUUCCAAGAAUUGCUUUCCCUGACCACCUCUGCAAAUAAUU